rnacentral:rRNA from 1 species
AGUUUGAUCCUGGCUCAGAUUGAACGCUGGCGGCAUGCCUUACACAUGCAAGUCGAACGGCAGCACGGGAGCUUGCUCCUGGUGGCGAGUGGCGAACGGGUGAGUAAUGCAUCGGAACGUAUCCUGGAGUGGGGGAUAACGUAGCGAAAGUUACGCUAAUACCGCAUAUUCUGUGAGCAGGAAAGCGGGGGACCUUCGGGCCUCGCGCUCUUGGAGCGGCCGAUGUCGGAUUAGCUAGUUGGUGAGGUAAAGGCUCACCAAGGCGACGAUCCGUAGCAGGUCUGAGAGGAUGAUCUGCCACACUGGAACUGAGACACGGUCCAGACUCCUACGGGAGGCAGCAGUGGGGAAUUUUGGACAAUGGGGGCAACCCUGAUCCAGCCAUGCCGCGUGAGUGAAGAAGGCCUUCGGGUUGUAAAGCUCUUUCGCGAGGGAAGAAAUUGCACCGGAUAAUACCUGGUGUAGAUGACGGUACCUUGAUAAGAAGCACCGGCUAACUACGUGCCAGCAGCCGCGGUAAUACGUAGGGUGCGAGCGUUAAUCGGAAUUACUGGGCGUAAAGCGUGCGCAGGCGGUUUCGUAAGACAGGCGUGAAAUCCCCGGGCUUAACCUGGGAACUGCGCUUGUGACUGCGAGGCUAGAGUACGGCAGAGGGAGGUAGAAUUCCACGUGUAGCAGUGAAAUGCGUAGAGAUGUGGAGGAAUACCGAUGGCGAAGGCAGCCUCCUGGGCCAGUACUGACGCUCAUGCACGAAAGCGUGGGGAGCAAACAGGAUUAGAUACCCUGGUAGUCCACGCCCUAAACGAUGUCAACUAGGUGUUGGUGGGGUUAAACCUCAUUAGUACCGCAGCUAACGCGUGAAGUUGACCGCCUGGGGAGUACGGGCCGCAAGGUUAAAACUCAAAGGAAUUGACGGGGACCCGCACAAGCGGUGGAUGAUGUGGAUUAAUU